rnacentral:rRNA from 1 species
AUACGGAGGGUGCAAGCGUUGUUCGGAAUUAUUGGGCGUAAAGAGCAUGUAGGCGGUUCGUUAAGUCUGAUGUGAAAGCCCGGGGCUCAACCCCGGAAGUGCAUUGGAUACUGGCGAACUUGAGUACGGGAGAGGAAAGUGGAAUUUCGAGUGUAGGGGUGAAAUCCGUAGAUAUUCGAAGGAACACCAGUGGCGAAGGCGGCUUUCUGGACCGAUACUGACGCUGAGAUGCGAAAGCGUGGGGAGCAAACAGGAUUAGAUACCCCGGUAGUCC